rnacentral:lncRNA from 1 species
UCGAAAGGGAAGCUAAAGAAAAAGAAAAAGAAAAAGAAAAGCAUGAGAAGACCCUUGAGAAACAAAAGGCGUGGGAAAAGAGUGUUCCUUCCCACAAGGUCAUUCAACAAGACAAAAGAUUUAAAAAUACCUUUGAAAAUAUGUGUCUUGUUGAACAACCUCAAAGCCUUACCUUUUGUAAAGGAACACUUGCAAGCAUAGAAAAAAAAGAAGAAUCCUUAAAAGAGGCUUGCAUAGAUUAUUUUACAUAUAUACCAAGAUAUCCCCA